AUUGAACGCUGGCGGCAUGCUUUACACAUGCAAGUCGAACGGUAACAGGCCUUCGGGUGCUGACGAGUGGCGAACGGGUGAGUAAUGCAUCGGAACGUGCCCAGAGGUGGGGGAUAACGCAGCGAAAGCUGUGCUAAUACCGCAUGUGAUCUGAGGAUGAAAGCGGGGGACCAGGCAGCAAUGUUUGGCCUCGCGCCUUUGGAGCGGCCGAUGUCAGAUUAUGUAGUUGGUGGGGUAAAGGCCUACCAAGCCGACGAUCUGUAGCUGGUCUGAGAGGACGACCAGCCACACUGGGACUGAGACACGGCCCAGACUCCUACGGGAGGCAGCAGUGGGGAAUUUUGGACAAUGGGCGCAAGCCUGAUCCAGCAAUGCCGCGUGCGGGAAGAAGGCCUUCGGGUUGUAAACCGCUUUUGUACGGAACGAAAAGGCUCUGGCUAAUACCUGGGGCUGAUGACGGUACCGUAAGAAUAAGCACCGGCUAACUACGUG
rnacentral:rRNA from 1 species